CUCUUAGCUUAAUAGUACAGAGCACUCAGCUGGAAUUUGAGGGAUGCAGAGUUCGAUUCUAUGUAGAG
rnacentral:tRNA from 1 species